rnacentral:tRNA from 1 species
UGCCCCAUGGCUUAGUUGGCUAUAGCGUCCGACUGUUAAUCGGAAGGUCGAGAGUUCGAUCCUCUCUGGGGCAG